rnacentral:tRNA from 3 species
GCGAGAUAGCUCAGUUGGCUAGAGCACAUGGUUCAUACCCAUGGUGUCGAGGGUUCGAAUCCCCCUCUCGC